rnacentral:rRNA from 1 species
GAUGAACGCCGGCGGCGUGCUUAACACAUGCAAGUCGAACGGAAAGGCUCCUGCUUGCAGGGGUACUCGAGUGGCGAACGGGUGAGUAACACGUGGGUGAUCUGCCCUGCACUUCGGGAUAAGCCUGGGAAACUGGGUCUAAUACCGGAUAGGACCACAUUUUGGAUGGUGUGGUGGAAAGUUUUUCGGUGUGGGAUGAGCUCGCGGCCUAUCAGCUUGUUGGUGGGGUAAUGGCCUACCAAGGCGUCGACGGGUAGCCGGCCUGAGAGGGUGUACGGCCACAUUGGGACUGAGAUACGGCCCAGACUCCUACGGGAGGCAGCAGUGGGGAAUAUUGCACAAUGGGCGCAAGCCUGAUGCAGCGACGCCGCGUGGGGGAUGACGGCCUUCGGGUUGUAAACUCCUUUCGCUAGGGACGAAGCGCAAGUGACGGUACCUGGAGAAGAAGCACCAGCUAACUACGUG